rnacentral:rRNA from 1 species
UUGAACGCUGGCGGCAUGCCUUACACAUGCCAGUCGCACGGCAGCACGGGUGCUUGCACCUGGUGGCGAGUGGCGAACGGGUGAGUAAUACAUCGGAACAUGUCCUGUAGUGGGGGAUAGCCCGGCGAAAGCCGGAUUAAUACCGCAUACGAUCUACGGAUGAAAGCGGGGGACCUUCGGGCCUCGCGCUAUAGGGUUGGCCGAUGGCUGAUUAGCUAGUUGGUGGGGUAAAGGCCUACCAAGGCGACGAUCAGUAGCUGGUCUGAGAGGACGACCAGCCACACUGGGACUGAGACACGGCCCAGACUCCUACGGGAGGCAGCAGUGGGGAAUUUUGGACAAUGGGCGAAAGCCUGAUCCAGCAAUGCCGCGUGUGUGAAGAAGGCCUUCGGGUUGUAAAGCACUUUUGUCCGGAAAGAAAUCCUUGGCCCUAAUACGGUCGGGGGAUGACGGUACCGGAAGAAUAAGCACCGGCUAACUACGUG